rfam:Nicotiana attenuata strain TT chromosome 9, whole genome shotgun sequence.
GGGACAAAUUAUUGUAUUCGACUGCAUUCACGGCGUGAAACAGGGGAUUACACUGUCUUUAAAUGGAAAUGAAUCAAUUAACAUAAUAGACUCCU